rnacentral:tRNA from 1 species
GCCGGGAUGGCGGAAUGGUAGACGCGACGGACUCAAAAUCCGUUGGGCGCAAGCCCGUGGGGGUUCGAGUCCCCCUCCCGGUA